GCCAGCAGCUGUAUCACCCUGCAACUCACAACCGGAGACCCACUGGAGCUCAGCAGGUGUGAGCCUGGUCAGUACCUGGAUGAGAGACCUCCUGGGAAAAAACUAAGGGUGCUGCUGGAA
rfam:Lepisosteus oculatus linkage group LG9, whole genome shotgun sequence.